rnacentral:rRNA from 1 species
AUUGAACGCUGGCGGCAUGCCUUACACAUGCAAGUCGAACGGCAGCACGGGUGCUUGCACCUGGUGGCGAGUGGCGAACGGGUGAGUAAUAUAUCGGAACGUGCCUUAUUGUGGGGGAUAACGCAGCGAAAGCUGUGCUAAUACCGCAUAAUCCCUAAGGGGGAAAGCGGGGGACCGUAAGGCCUCGCGCAAUUAGAGCGGCCGAUACCUGAUUAGCUAGUUGGUGAGGUAAAGGCUCACCAAGGCAACGAUCAGUAGCUGGUCUGAGAGGACUGUCAGCCGCACUGGGACUGAGCCACAGCCCAGACUCCUACGGGAGGCAGCAGUGGGGAAUGUUGGACAAUGGGGGCAACCCUGAUCCAGCAAUGCCGCGUGAGUGAAGAAGGCCUUCGGGUUGUAAAGCUCUUUUGUCAGGGAAGAAACAGCAGCUCUAACACAGUAUGCGAAUGACGGUACCUGAAGAAUAAGCACCGGCUAACUACGUGCCAGCCGCCGCCGUAA